GAGAAAAGCGGAAUGAGGUCAAGCGAGCUUCCAAAUUAGAGGGAAAAAUAUUAAGAUCGGGGAUGGUUCUUUUGAAGGGUUAUUUGUCUAUGGAUGAUCAGGUUAAAAUGGUAAAAAAAUGCCGAGACCUUGGCUUAGGCCCUGGAGGUUUCUAUCAACCUAACUACCAUGAUGGUGCAAAACUGCAUUUGAGAAUGAUGUGCCUUGGUAGGAAUUGGGACCCCAAUACUAGUAUGUAUGGAGAAUAUCGACCAAUAGAUGGUGCUAAACCACCCAAGAUUCCUCAUGAAUUUUGUAGCUUGGUUGAGAAUGCUAUGAAAGAUUCCUGUGCUUUCAUAGAAGGAAAUUCUGAAGCAAGCAGUUUAGAAGAUUGUCUGCCAUGGAUGUCACCAGACAUCUGUAUUGUAAAUUUUUACUCAGCAAGUGGGCGGCUUGGUCUCCAUCAGGAUAAAGAUGAAAGUGAAAGAAGUCUAAAGAAACGAUUGCCUGUGGUUUCAUUUUCAAUUGGAGAUGAAGGAGAGUUCGUGUAUGGUGAGAACAGAGAUGAAAAGAAUGCUGCGAAAGUUAUACUGGAAUCAGGAGAUGUGCUGAUAUUUGGUGGGAAGUCUAGACAUAUAUUUCAUGGAGUACGAUCAGUUCACCCCAACACUGCUCCCAAGUCUCUACUUGAAGAAACAAAUCUUCGUCCAGGCCGUUUAAAUCUAACUUUCAGAGAGUACUGAAAUAUUGGAUAUGCUUGGAGCUGUUUCUAGUGAUUGUAAAUAUAUGCCAAACAGGUGCAAUCGGAGAUACUGUUAUUUGACAUACUUGUUGAGGGGAAUAUAAUAUGACCCUUUUCUUGAGGAAUCUC
rnacentral:misc_RNA from 1 species